rnacentral:tRNA from 1 species
ACCCGGGUGGCUUAGUCGCUAAGCAUCUGACUUUGGCUCAGAUCAUGAUCUCACAGUUCAUGAGUUCGAGUCCCACAUUGGGUG